CGGAGGGGCGUAGCGUUGUUCGGAAUUAACUGGGCGUAAAGACGCACGUAGGCGGGACUGGAAAGUUGGGGGUGGAAAUACCCGGGGCCGUCAACCUCGGAACUGCCUUCAAAACUAAUCAGUCUGGAGUUCGAGAGAGGUGAGUGGAAUUCCGAGUGUAGAGGUGAAAUUCGUAGAUAUUCGGAGGAACACCAGUGGCGAAGGCGGCUCACUGGCUCGAUACUGACGCUGAGGUGCGAAAGCGUGGGGAGCAAACAGGAUU
rnacentral:rRNA from 1 species